UACGUAGGUGGCAAGCGUUGUCCGGAAUUAUUGGGCGUAAAGCGCGCGCAGGUGGUUUCUUAAGUCUGAUGUGAAAGCCCACGGCUCAACCGUGGAGGGUCAUUGGAAACUGGGGAACUUGAGUGCAGGAGAGAAGAGUGGAAUUCCACGUGUAGCGGUGAAAUGCGUAGAGAUGUGGAGGAACACCAGUGGCGAAGGCG
rnacentral:rRNA from 1 species